rnacentral:rRNA from 1 species
GACGAACGCUGGCGGCGUGCCUAAUACAUGCAAGUUGAGCGCUGAAGGUUGGUACUUGUACCGACUGGAUGAGCAGCGAACGGGUGAGUAACGCGUGGGGAAUCUGCCUUUGAGCGGGGGACAACAUUUGGAAACGAAUGUUAAUACCGCAUAAAAACUUUAAACACAAGUUUUAAGUUUGAAAGAUGCAAUUGCAUCACUCAAAGAUGAUCCCGCGUUGUAUUAGCUAGUUGGUGAGGUAAAGGCUCACCAAGGCGAUGAUACAUAGCCGACCUGAGAGGGUGAUCGGCCACAUUGGGACUGAGACACGGCCCAAACUCCUACGGGAGGCAGCAGUAGGGAAUCUUCGGCAAUGGACGAAAGUCUGACCGAGCAACGCCGCGUGAGUGAAGAAGGUUUUCGGAUCGUAAAACUCUGUUGGUAGAGAAGAACGUUGGUGAGAGUGGAAAGCUCAUCAAGUGACGGUAACUACCCAGAAAGGGACGGCUAACUACGUG